rnacentral:rRNA from 1 species
AUUGAACGCUGGCGGCAGGCCUAACACAUGCAAGUCGAGCGGAUGACGGGAGCUUGCUCCUUGAUUCAGCGGCGGACGGGUGAGUAAUGCCUAGGAAUCUGCCUGGUAAUGGGGGACAACGUUUCGAAAGGAACGCUAAUACCGCAUACGUCCUACGGGAGAAAGCAGGGGACCUUCGGGCCUUGCGCUAUCAGAUGAGCCUAGGUCGGAUUAGCUAGUUGGUGGGGUAAUGGCUCACCAAGGCGACGAUCCAUAACUGGUCUGAGAGGAUGAUCAGGAACACUGGAACUGAGACACGGUCCAGACUCCUACGGGAGGCAGCAGUGGGGAAUAUUGGACAAUGGGCGAAAGCCUGAUCCUGCCAUGCCGCGUGUGUGAAGAAGGUCUUCGGAUUGUAAAGCACUUUAAGUUGGGAGGAAGGGCAGUAAGCUAAUACCUUGCUGUUUUGACGUUACCGACAGAAUAAGCACCGGCUAACUCUGUGCCAGCAGCCGCCGUAA